rnacentral:rRNA from 1 species
UACGUAGGGUGCGAGCGUUAAUCGGAAUUACUGGGCGUAAAACGUGCGUAGGCGGUUCGGCAAGUCGGGUGUGAAAUUUCGAGGCUCAACCUCGAAACGCCACUCGAUACUGCUGUGACUGGAGUCCGGUAGAGGAGUGCGGAAUUCCUGGUGUAGCGGUGAAAUGCGCAGAUAUCAGGAGGAACACCAACGGCGAAGGCAGCACUCUGGGCCGGUACUGACGCUGAGGAGCGAAAGCGUGGGGAGCAAACAGG